ensembl:lncRNA
CCAGCGGUGAGCUUUCCCUGCAGACACACACCUUACAUGCUGCCUCCUGUGUCCUCUGUUCCACUGACUGGGUCUGUUUUACCUGCAGGUACGACUCCACCACCUCUCACCAUCCCAGACAGUAGAAACCAGGACCAGGGAGGCUCUAGAACACACUACACCCUGAUAGUGGUCAUUGGUGUAGUACUGGUGCUACUGGUAGGACUAGCUCUCUAUUUGAGGAAAACCAAAGACUCAAAUCAACAACCCCGAAGGUAAAUAAAAUGCAGCACUUAUUCAUAUGUUUGCCCGGUGGCUUGUUUUUCUUUUAAUAUAAAUUUUACUGAAGGUUAGGGUCACAUUUAUACACUGUUUAUGAACAUAUUUAUUUACUCUAACAGUCAACCACAGCAACUCUAAAAAAAAAGUGACAAGAACAUUUCAGAUAAAGGACCUGUCCAGUCAGACUCACUGCUUGACUUUGUCCGCACUGAAUGACUUGAUUGUACGAAGAAGGAGACUAGUGAUGGGAAGUUCGGCUCUUUUCAAAGAAGAGCUGGCUCUUUCGACUCCUGAAUGGCUCUUAAUAUAGAAUGUUUUGAAGGCUUUUAUUUUACCACGACUUUGCAAAGAUUAAUGGGUUGUGAGAAGUCUUAUAAUUGCCAAAUUGUGUGCAUUUAUUUUCUAACAAAACCAUUACUUUUGUUUAAGAUUUUAAUCAAACAUUUUAUUGCACAAAACAGCAAGUAGCUCCACAGAACAGAACUAGAAGCAAACCCAAGCAAACAGUUUUAUAACAGCCUUAUAAUUCCAUGAAUGAGUGUUACGACCUUGGCUCAUAGGAAGCAACAUGAACUAAAAUAUAGGGUUUCCACAAUGAUGGUUUAUUAAAACAGCUCAAUCCAGGUCUCCUGCAAAUCUCAAUAGAGACACUAUUUAGCACACAACAAUGAGGCCAUCAUCUACCUGCAGCAUCGGGCCCUUUCUCACCCAGAGUCUCCUGGGAGCACUGUGAGAGUCAUGUUUUUGGACUUCUCCAGUGCUUUCAGUGCCAUCCAGCCAUCAUUGCUGAGGCGUGGACCAACAUCUUGCUGCUUGGACCAUAAACUACCUCACAGACAGACCACAGUUUGUCAGGAAUACCACAUCAGUUGUGUGAUGACGACCACAUCAGUUGUGUGAUGACGACCACAUCAGUUGUGUGAUGUGGUCGCCUGCAGCACGGGGGCACCUCGGGGCGGUGCUCUCCCUUUUCUGAUCACACUGUACACAUCGGACUUUAAAUACAAAUCACAUCACUGUCACCCCCAGAAGGAUACGGGCAGGAGUACAGGGAGGUCAUCUCUGACUUUGUGAGCUGGUGUGAGAACAACUACCUGAUCCUGUGGAGGACAGAAGGAUGCUGGUAAACUAACAUCCAUCAUGGAGAACCAUCCACCCCCUGCACCACUGUAGAGGCUCUGAGCAGCUCCUUCAGCACCACACUGUUACACCCACAGUGCAGGAAGGAGCUCAUUCCUCCCCACAGCCGUCAGACGAGAUAAUACAGGACUACAGUGACGCACAAUGUGGAUCACGUGAUUGUUGUUGUAAAAGCACCACAUGUGCAAUUAUCAUUUGCACUUUCCUCCUGCGUACCUUUCUAUUGUUUUAUAUUGUAUUUAAGGUAUUUGUAUUUCAAGAUAUGCAAUAUCUUAAUAAUAUAUAGUCAUAUACCUUUCAUCCAUGUUUGCUUUUUGUUUUUGUAAAUAUGCAGAAAAUAUUGCACAGUUAUUCUUGCACAUUAUCUUUUGCACAGUUAAGUAAUGUUGUCACUGUUCUUUUUCUUGUCUUUAUUUUCCUAUGAAGUCACAUCUUAAAUCAACAGCCACAAGGGUAAAAUGCUGCAUUUAUUAUUGUUUGCCUGUGGGUCUACGUCUGCCUAUACACUGUCUUUGUACAUGUCUGUGUACAUACUGUAAACAUGUACAUACACAUUUUAGUUAUUGUUACGUAAAACCAUAAUGAUAUGCUUUAUUAUUUAUAGUAUAUCUGUAUGUACUGCAAUUUAGUACUAAGAUCAAUAUAGGUCAUGUUAAGGUAUCUCUCUCUGUCUGUCUCUCUCUUUCUCUUCACUGCGAGAGGCAAAGAUGGUGAUUUAUUUCAGUCUUAGGGACAGGCUGCAGGCUGGAUUCUUGCAAAGCAAGACUAUGGCUGACGUUCCGUUUUUAUAAGUCCAUAGAUUCUCUAGGAACUUUUAAAAUACAGUGGUGUUAUAAAGACUUACGCUGCCAUGUGUCUAAUGAGGAACUACAAUUUGCUGAUUUCUUAAGUUGAAGGAGUGUGGUGUCUUGGUUGUCAUCUGAUUUUAGAAGCAUUGUAAAUAAAGUAUUUUUUUUUCUAAAGAAUCA